rnacentral:rRNA from 1 species
AUGAAGCUGGAAUCGCUAGUAAUCGCAGAUCAGAAUGCUGCGGUGAAUACGUUCCCGGGUCUUGUACACACCGCCCGUCACACCAUGGGAGUUGGAAAUGCCCGAAGUCGGUGACCUAACCGAAAGGGAGGAGCCGCCGAAGGCAGGUCUGAUAACUGGGGUGAAGUCGUAACAAGGUAGC